ensembl:lncRNA
GAAAAGAGGAAAAAGGACAAACUAGCACGCAUUCCAACCUUCUACUUUUAAUGAUUUAAUACACCACAUUUACACCACUUACCACAUUUGCAGCAGUCAGAACUGAGCCGUUUUUAGUAGCCGUUUGAAAGAAGAAACUGCUGUUGUUAGUGUUGUUGGCGCACACAAACACAAAGGUAGAAUUCUAAAAAAGAAAUAUGUAUAUAUAUAAAUAUAUAUAAAAGACACAAACUGCAGUGAAAACACACUUCAGAAUAUUGUAUUUACAUUAAUAACUACAUUAUUUAUUCUUAACCUGGGUAGUGAGUCCCAGCGCCACAUAUCCUGAUGUCGUGCCACUAAGUUCAUAGUAGAUACUUUGGUUGUUCACUUGAAAUGAGCUGAAAAAGCAGCUGGAGUCUCCUGCUGGAUCGCAAGUAGACGCAUUUGACAAGCACAGCUUAGUGGCGCCACAACCGUUACGAGUGAUGUUGAGCUGAAGAUUAACAGAGAAAGUAAAUUAACAUUAUUCAUUCUGUCCUGUUGAUCCAGGCCUUAUCAGCACUGUUUAUACUGAUCAUCACAGAGAUAGAAAAAAAUUAUAUUGGUUCAUUUAAAAAAACUAAUAUUAAUGUAAAUGAGACAGGAGGGACGUUAACAGGAGGGUCAGGAGCAGUGAUGAUGAUUGUGAAUAAUAAACUCCAUUACCAGUGGUGUUGUGCUGUUGCUUGGAAUAUUGCUCUUGGGAUUUGCCAAGUCGAAAGGUCCGGUGGUAAUUAAUGUAGUUGCAUUUUCCAGUUCAGUUCCUGUAGGAUUAGAACAGAGUAUCAUUACUGAACCAUACUGCUGGUGGAAUCCCUGCCACCGUCUCACCCGUGCAUUACAUUAUCAGCUUCAGUUCUGAUGAGCAUUAGAUAAUUAAUUGAGUCAAAAAGCUUCCAUCCAUUGAUUUUCUGUACCGCUUAUCACAGGGAGCCUGAAGCCUAUCCCAGAGAGGAAAACAUUGUAUUGAAAGUUUGUUUUUGUUUUUUUCUCCAUCCGAUUAAUCGAUUAUGAAAAUAAUUGUUAGUUGCAGCCCUAACAUUAAGUACGAAGGCAGCCAUAUUUUUUUUUACACUUAAUGCAUGAUUUAUUAAUGGAGCGCAGCAGGGACGAUGUAUUUUUGAAGGCCACCCUGGAAGUUAACAUCAUCCCAAUAGAAUUGUGAAUUCCACUGGCUUUUGGAUUAUCGUAGAAAACAGUUUAUGAUUCUUACACGUUUUUGAUCAUCAAGCUAAUCCUCACAAAUGAGCUCAACCUUUAUGAAUUUUGAAGCCUAAAUAUAAUCGGCCGAAGUAAAAAGCUAAAGCUAGGUGAUAAACAAACUACACCACAGUCUCAUGACCUCAACGUCAACGCCACUACGCUUCCGUCAGAUCUCUCGAUCUUUAUUUAAAACAAACACUACAAUGGGAAAAUUCUAUAAAUUAAUAAAUAUACAAGUGGAAAGUUUGAAUUUAAUAGGUUGUAAGAGCGUGGAUAUAAACGCAGCGAGGCUGUAGUAGAUGAGUUUUCCUGUUCGGCGUGAUGACGUUUAAUGUCCCCGACAACCUCCGUAGUCCCAUUUAGUCACGUGUUAGCAACCGUCUUUUUCUAGACACGUGAAAGCUUAACAGAAUCAUGAGUGGGGUAUUACUGAGGUAUUUUAUGUCUUAACCACAGACCUUAUUUCAGGCAUUUAACCAAAAACCCAUUCAAAAAACCCUGUUCAUUUGUGAGUGGUUACAAUGCUGUGUGUGUGUGUGUGUGUGUGCUCAUAAGUAAAAGUCUAAUGCAUCACUAAGAAGCAGGAUACAAGUCUGAAAGCUCACCAUUUGUGCUUCCAUUAUAGAUGCUGAUGUUGGAAGACAGCUGAACAGUUGAACUGAGGAAGAUGGAAUUGAGGAAGGUGGAAUUGAGGGUGACAUUGAAGACACACUGAACAAGACUCCCGUUUCCCAAUACUGAACCCUGAACACUGGUUAUAUUUAAGGCGGUCUAUGAAGAGGGACAGAGAGAGACAGUGAUGGAGUUAGGGUUAGAGAUCUCUGUCAGUAAUUUGCCUGGAAUAUGAACAUGGAACACAAUUUUUGGAAAUCUUGUGGAAAAGGUUAGCAUUAGCAAUUCUAAGUUUAUUGGUUGGAGCAACUGUAUGAAAUUUGUAUGAAACUUAACAAAGUCUCUUAUCGAAUUGUUAAUUACUGCAUUAUAUCUGAAAUUUGUGUCUCACGUUUCACAUGCACAAAUCAAGUGAACUUCUAUGUCAGAGUCAUACCAGGUUAGCAGGAGUCAACACUGAGCCGUUCUGAAUAGCUGUUUCGAAGAAGGCGCUGUUGUUAUUGUUGCCACAGACGAACACAGCAGUUCCCUAAAAAGAACAAUUAUUACAUUUAAAUAAAAUCCUUCAAUUUUACAGGUUUAUAAUUAUUUAACUAUAUUGAUCAAUAAAUGGCUGAGAUUUACUAACUGCUUCACUGUUGCAUUAUUUAAAAAAAGCUAUGUCCAUCUGCCAGCUGUCAAACGCGGUCUACCAGUUUGACC